GAUGAACGCUGGCGGCGUGCUUAACACAUGCAAGUCGAACGAUGAUGCCCAGCUCGCUGGGUGGAUUAGUGGCGAACGGGUGAGUAACACGUGGGUAACCUGCCCUUGACUCUGGGUUAAGCCUGGGAAACUGGGUCUAAUACCGGAUACGACCAUCUGGCGCAUGUCAUGGUGGUGGAAAGCCUUUGUGGUUUUGGAUGGGCUCGCGGCCUAUCAGCUUGUUGGUGGGGUAAUGGCCUACCACGGCGACGACGGGUAGCCGGCCUGAGAGGGUGACCAGGCACACUGGGACUGAGACACGGCCCAGACGCCUACGGGAGGCAGCAGUGGGGAAUAUUGCACAAUGGGCGCAAGCCUGAUGCAGCGACGCCGCGUGAGGGAUGACGGCCUUCGGGGUGUAAACCUCUUUCAGUAGGGAAGAAGCGAAAGUGACGGUACCUGCAGAAGAAGCGCCGGCUAACUACGUG
rnacentral:rRNA from 1 species